rnacentral:rRNA from 1 species
AACGGGGGGGGCAAGUGUUCUUCGGAAUGACUGGGCGUAAAGGGCACGGUAGGCGGUGAAUCGGGUUGAAAGUGAAAGUCGCCAAAAAGUGGCGGAAUGCUUUCGAAACCAAUUCACUUGAGUGAGACAGAGGAGAGUGGAAUUUCGUGUGGAGGGGUGAAAUCUACAGAUCUACGAAGGAACGCCAAAAGCGAAGGCAGCUCUCUGGGAUCCCUACCGACGCUGGGGUGCGAAAGC